UGCUGGAGUGGAAGCGACGCCCGUCAGGUGACGCCAGCGGCAGCCAUCUUGCCGGAGGCAGAAAGCGCGCUGCCGGUGUGUCGCCUCCACGCUUCGUUGCUGGUGCACGCUGUUCUCUUCAAAGUUUUCAAUGAGUGCAAGUCUUGCUCUUGGAUAAUGGUUACCUCUUGCGUUGCCUACGGAUGCACAAACAGGCUGAAGAAAGGUUGUGGCCUCACAUUUCACCUGUUUCCAAAGAAUGCAGAAGUUCGGAGUCUUUGGGAGCGGGCAGUUCGCCGUGAAGGGUAGCGCGCUAAGGAUGGAGACCGCCUGUGCUCUGUACAUUUCACUCCUGAGUGCUUUGACCACACUGGGCAAACGACGCGACUGCGGGUGGGAAGUGUGCCCACGUCGUUUCCAGCUUUUCCGCCUCAUCUGCAGAAACCUGUCAAACAGAAGCGUCCCGACCCCAAGUCUCGAGAUUUCCCGGCCCCGCUUGGUCCUGAGUGUUCUGGGUUGUGCGACCUGCCUGGAGCUGAAUAUUUUCCUGAAGACUCGCCAACCAAACAGUUCUACAAAGACAAGGUCCUUUCCUCACAAGAAGAGAUAACCCAGUUGAAGAAGAAGGUCAAAAGACUGCAGCAAACUAAACGAAGGCUGGUCAAGAGAAAUGAAACCGCCCAAGAAAUCAUCAAAGAAAUCAGAGAGCGAAAACUCUUGUCAGAAGAAGGCUCGCAUGUGUUUUCAUCUGUUUUCUCGGAUGACAUUCAGCAACUACUGUGCAGGGUGGGCAAUGAGCAGAAGGGCAAGUACCCACCUGAGCUGCGAGCA